GCCAGGCACAGUGGUGUGUGCCUGUAGUCCCAGCUACUUGGGAGGCUGAGGCUAGACGAUUGCUUGAGCCCAGGAGUUCUGAGCUGUAGUGCGAUAUGCCGAUCGGGUGUCCGCACUUAAAUUCGGCAUUAAUAUGGUGACCUCCCAGGAGCAGGGGACCAGCAGGUUGCCUAAGGAGGGGUCAACUGGCCCAGGUCAGAAACGGAGGUCAAAACUCCUGUGCUGAUCAGUAGUGAGAUCGCGCCUGUGAGUAGCCACUGCACUCCAGCCUGGGCAACAUAGGGAGACCCUGUCUCU
rnacentral:SRP_RNA from 1 species